rnacentral:lncRNA from 1 species
UAAUAUUUAAUAGUAUUCACGAUUUUAUUUCUAAACAAUAUUCUAUAACAGAAAAUAUGUAUCUUAUCUAACAGAAAAAUAUGUUGGUUUUAAUAUUUAAUAUUAUUUGUUACAAAGAAAAUUAUUUUGUUUCAUGGAGUUUUUUACCAACACUGCGAAAGUUAAUACUUAUUAUACAGUCUAAUGUACAUUUAUUAGAAUAAGAUGAAGACAAAUAAGAAAACGAAGAUAAACCAGAAGACUUCUUUACAAGCUAAUGUUUAUUUAUUCAAUAUAAUGUGAAAAUAAAUAAAUAAAAAGAUGAAGAUAAGCGAAAGAAAAACUCGAAGAGUAAUAUAACUAAAAGAUGGAUACAAUGAAUAAUGAGAGGGAAGAAAGUCUGGAAGAAAAAAUAAAAAAGAAGUCGGAGGAGACGAACACGAUGAAGAAGUACAAGAAAAAACGGAAGAAAGAAAGAAAAAAAAAAGAAGUAGAAGAAUAAGAGGAAAAAAAUCAAAACAUAAAGAAAAAUACAAAGUUAAUGACAAAGAAGUUAAAAAAACGAGAAAAAAAACAAACAAAAAGUUGUGAUUAAGAAGAAGAAAAGAGACAGUGUUGAAGAAGACAAGAAUAAGGUGAAUAGGAAAAGAGAUGAAGAAAAAAGAGUAGAAGAAGAAGAAUGUGGAUAAAGAAGUCUAAUAAAAACUAAAAGAAGUACAAGAAAAAAAAAACUCAAAGAAUACAAAAUGAUGAUGAAGAAUUCAAAGAUGAUGAAAUAGAAGUAGGAAAGUAUGUG